AUACGUAGGGGGCGAGCGUUGUCCGGAAUGAUUGGGCGUAAAGGGCGCGUAGGCGGCCGCUUAAGUCUGGAGUGAAAGUCCUGUUUUCGAGAUGGGAAUUGCUUUGGAUACUGGGGGGCUUGUGUGCAGGAGAGGUUAUCGGAAUUCCUUGUGUAGCGGUGAAAUGCGUAGAUAUAAGGAAGAACACCAGUGGCGAAGGCGGUCUACUGGACAGUAACUGACGCUGAGGCGCGAAAGCGUGGGGAGCAAACAGGAUUAGAUACCCUGGUAGUCCACGCUGUAAACGAUGAAUACUAGGUGUGUGGGGACUGACCCCCUCCGUGCCGCAGUUAACACAAUAAGUAUUCCACCUGGGGAGUACGGCCGCAAGGUUGAAACUCAAAUGAAUUGACGGGG
rnacentral:rRNA from 1 species